ACAAUGUUAAAUUUACUGUGAUAUUUUAGGAAUUAUCUAAAUUUUAAGUGUAAAUAAGAUUCAUAAAACUGAAAAAAUGGAAAUUUGUUGCUUAGAGGAAUGUGGUGCAAAUACAGUGCGGCCAAUGCUUGUUCCUCCGAGGGCUGACGAUGGGCCUGUAGCGUACUACCCUUGUCUUCCGGCGUGCACUAAGACGUAUUAUUGCUGUGAAAAACCAAAGUCGAAGCCGCGCGAGGAAAGUUCUCGUCGAGGCGAGUGCCGUCAUAGUCAACAAAAGAUCGAACGUCGACCCUGUUCGCCGCCCAACAAUCAUCAGGAUUGCUUCGUCAUUCGCUCGCCGUCACCUCGUCCGCCGUGUUGCGAGCCGCAAUGCAAACCGACCAAGACAAAGUAUAUUAUUCCAUGUUAUCGAUAUGAAGAUGGGCGUAUUGUAUAUCCCUUGCCAUCAUCGGCAUUGAAAAGGAAUGGCCUCCAAGAUCAAACCGUUGGAGAAAGUGGUGGCAUUGGAUACAUCAGGAAAUGUUGGCACAGUGCGUGGUUUGGUGACUAUCCCAAACCAAUUGCCAUUAGACCAAUGAAGAAACUCGCUGUUAAAAAAGCUAAAAAACAUUGAUGCUUUCGGUGUGUAGAGUGUGCGUGGAAGUCAUAAGCGGCAUCAAGAAAUACAUUCAGAGUGCGCAAGCUCCCCGUGUCUGCCUUCAAGCGUAACGGCAUGCAGGACCAGGAGCACGGGAAGGUCCAAGGCGCCACCAACUUCCUCCAACGCUGCCCGCGCGAUGUAGAACUCGAAUGCGAUGUCAGCCCUAAAGUCAAAGUGUGCGAUCCGGCUAAAGUACCCCUUUGCGACGGAAAAACCACUCUCUGCUGUCGUCUUCUGAAAAAACCUAUAAAAGUUGCACUUGAAGAUAUACUAGACGAUUGACUAUGUACGCUGCCUUUGUAUUUUCGUUUUGCUAUUGCGAAUCAACCCACCGUGCUGAUGCGGCGUGCAUGCGAGGUGGCAAUCGGCAAGCGUCCGCGUAAGAAGCCUUACGAAGAGCGCCGCUUCAUUCGUGACGCUGAUCACCAAGAGUCUCGAUACAUCAGAGAAGAUGAAGAGACAACACGGCGUCCUAAACCCGCAGUGCAAUCAAAUGGAAAAACGAAGAUUGCGAGGAUUCGCAAUAAAACCGCAAUAAACUAGGGCAUUGAGAAAUAACAAUAAAACAAAUUUAGAUUUAUUUUCGUGUAAUGAAGCGGACUGGUGUUACGAGUCGUGUCGUGAUGUGUCGUGUCGUGUCGUGAGUCGUGUGAGUCAGUGUGUCCAAUGCGAAGACGGCGGUGGGGGGGAGGGGAGGUGACUCGCGCGCACCAUGCAGCUGGCUCUGUCGCUGCUACUCCUGGCCGCAUGCGUGACUGCUUUCGCGCAGAUUGCGUGGACGCCCAUUUUUCUUGACGCCACCAGCCAAGUUGACCUAUGGACGCAAUCACCAAAGGGCUGCGCGUGCCCGUCGUGCGCGACGG